rnacentral:rRNA from 1 species
CGGCCGCGUCGACGAGCAAACAGGAUUAGAUACCCUGGUAGUCCACGCCGUAAACGAUGUCGACUAGCCGUUGGGAUCCUUGAGAUCUUAGUGGCGCAGCAAACGCAUUAAGUCGACCGCCUGGGGAGUACGGCCGCAAGGUUAAAACUCAAAUGAAUUGACGGGGGCCCGCACAAGCGGUGGAGCAUGUGGUUUAAUUCGAAGCAACGCGAAGAACCUUACCAGGCCUUGACAUGCAGAGAACUUUCCAGAGAUGGAUUGGUGCCUUCGGGAACUCUGACACAGGUGCUGCAUGGCUGUCGUGUCGACGCGGCCG